CUUAACAACAUGUUUGGUUGGGGAGAGUAUGAAUGCAUUAUAGCUCAAUUCAGCGGGCUUAUCACCAAACUAUUGUUUGGUUGAUUGUAAUUGCCUAUUACGGCCCCUGUUGAAUACGGGCUUAAUUAGGGAAGAGAGAACAUAGCUAUUCCCUGCCCUUCCCACUGAAUGGGUGAUUUAGGGUGUGUGAAAUAAAAAAUUAGCCCCAAAUGUUUCAAUUUUACCCUCACCAUUCUGAAACCUUUCUCACUCAACUUGAUAGCCUCUCUCACUCAGCCUCUAUUACUUGCUUCGCCUCUGGCCACUAGCCCCAAACUCUUCUUGGGCAUGCCAUAAAGAAAGGCAAGAAGAGAGCUGCCUUUGUUUUUCUUCAUUCUGAAACCUUUGUUACUCAACCCGAUAGCCCUUCUCACCUAGCCUCUAUUGCUUGCUUCGCUUCCGACCACUAGCUCCAAACUCUUCUCGGGCAUGCCAUAGAGAAAGGCAAGGAGACAGUCGCCUCUAUUUGUCUCUCUCUAAAUAAAAAUUUUCAAAGGCUUCUCCUUUCUUUCUUUCUUUUUUUUUUAACAAACCCAAAAGUUUUAACCCUAUACAGCCUCCCUUGCUUUCUUCGCCUCUGGUCACUAGCACUUUUCCCUUAGUUCUUUGGCUUGCUUGCACCACUCACAGUUGAGCCUCUUGUAUUCACUGGAUCACUAACAUUUUGGAGCAAAAUGCGCGAAAAUCGGAGCGUCGGAGCAAGCUACAAGAGCUAUACGGGCAUGUGAUAGGCAGUGUAAAUUUCACGGAAUUACGCACCGAAUAGCGAAAAGUCAUAAUUUUUAAGUUUUUCUAGCAUUCUGAGACUUAUAUACGAAGAUAAUAAGAAUAUAGGAGGGAUCCAUCUUAGAAUACUCAAGAAAACAAUUCGAAGAAUACCAUUGAAGUCGAUUUUGAAGCAUAUUUCUGAUCCAUCAAAAUUGAAGAUUCCCAGUUGAUUUCUUAGGAAGUUAUCAUGAGUUUUCUUAUUUCUUGUGGUUAUAUUAUAUCUUGAACGUUUUUAUUUUCAAGCAUGAAUUAAUUUUUUAAAUAUCUAGGGGAAAUGAUCCUUAUUAUCGAUUUUGUCAUUUGAUUUUUAUUUUUACACAAAAAUACUUAGUUUCUUAUUUUGAA